CUGUUCCCAUUUUUCCCUCUCCCCUCCACAAACAUAUCAGACAAAGCCUCAUUCCCAGUGUGUUGAGAGAUGUCACUUUGGAGAUCACAGGAUGGUUCGGGAGGGGGAACCCAUUUGCUGUUAUGACUGCACUCCAUGUCCAGAAGACAUGUUUUCUAAUGAGAUAGAUGCAGUCCAUUGUGUCAAGUCCCUGAAGAUCAAUAUCCAAAUGAAAACAAGGACCAAUGUAUCCCCAAGUUUAUAACUUUCCUAACCUAC